UUUAUGGAGAGUUUGAUCCUGGCUCAGGAUGAACGCUGGCGGCGUGCCUAAUACAUGCAAGUCGAGCGAACGGACGAGAAGCUUGCUUUUCUGAUGUUAGCGGCGGACGGGUGAGUAACACGUGGAUAACCUACCUAUAAGACUGGGAUAACUUCGGGAAACCGGAGCUAAUACCGGAUAAUAUUUUGAACCGCAUGGUUCAAAAGUGAAAGACGG
rnacentral:rRNA from 1 species